AAGAAGUUAAAAUAUCAAGAGCAUAGAGUGAAUCAUAAUGAUAACAGUUCGAUUGGAUACUUCAAUAAAAAAGGGCUUCUGUACAAUCAAAUAAAAAGUACACCUGAACAUUAUGUGACUGCAAUGGUAUAAGUGUACAGAAAGUGGAGGGAACUAAAUUUUUAAGCUGUGCAGCUAACACUGGCGGCAUGUAAACAUUAUGUCAUACAUAACAAAUAAAAUCAAGAAAGGU